rnacentral:lncRNA from 1 species
UUGGGGGCUCACCACUGAAUCCUGGGGAAGCAGUUGACAGAGAGCCUGUCUGAGCAUGAGGACCUCCAGUUCCCAGGUGAGCACCUGCUUGGAACCACAGGCACAAAUCCGCAGGCAUGGAUGCUGAUGGAAAGCAAGUGCCCCACGGAAGGAGUAACUAGAGCAACCACUCAGCAGAGGAGGACAUUCUGGCUCCGAGAAGGUGAGGAAUGUCUGAAGUCACACCUGCCAUUCUUGUCUGAAAGUGGCAGAGCCAAGAUUCAUCUGAUUUCAUCAGGUCCCCAGAGCCUGCUCCUUUGACCACACUAGCCGCCACAUGAGGUAAGAUGUCCAUGUCUGUACCUGUGUCCUCCAGGACACAGAGCAGAUGCGGCAUAGUGCAGGACGUCUGAGGUGAGCUGUUGUAGCAACAUCGCCAGCGGGAAAUCCAUCCUCACAAUGCCCCUGAGCCCUCUGGUGAGCUGCUUUUGGAAAGUGUGACCCACCCCAUCCAGGCUGCAAGGCACGCGCUGUUACGCAUGUGUGGGCUUAAUUAUCAACAUUGUUCUAGGCCAGGAGGGACACCCGUCUGCAAGGAGUGAGCUCUCCAUUUGAUUCCACUUGAUAUGAUUUCCUCAG